ACGGGAGGCAGCAGUGGGGGAUAUUGCACAAUGGGGGAAACCCUGAUGCAGCAACGCCGCGUGAAGGAUGAAGGUCUUCGGAUCGUAAACUUCUGUCCUUGGGGACGAAUCAAUGACGGUACCCUUGGAGGAAGCCCCGGCUAACUACGUGCCAGCAGCCGCGGUAAUACGUAGGGGGCGAGCGUUAUCCGGAAUUAUUGGGCGUAAAGAGUGCGUAGGUGGUUUCUUAAGCGCGGGGUGAAAGGCUAUGGCUUAACCAUAGUUAGCCUUGCGAACUGGGAAACUUGAGUGCAGGAGGGGAAAGCGGAAUUCCUAGUGUAGCGGUGAAAUGCGUAGAUAUUAGGAGGAACACCAGUGGCGAAGGCGGCUUUCUGGACUGUAACUGACACUGAGGCACGAAAGUGUGGGGAGCAAACAGGAUUAGAUACCCUGGUA
rnacentral:rRNA from 1 species